rnacentral:rRNA from 1 species
GAUGAACGCUGGCGGCGUGCCUAAUACAUGCAAGUCGAGCGAACAGACGAGGAGCUUGCUCCUCUGACGUUAGCGGCGGACGGGUGAGUAACACGUGGAUAACCUACCUAUAAGACUGGGAUAACUUCGGGAAACCGGAGCUAAUACCGGAUAAUAUAUUUAACCGCAUGGUUCAAUAGUGAAAGACGGUUUUGCUGUCACUUAUAGAUGGAUCCGCGCCGCAUUAGCUAGUUGGUAAGGUAACGGCUUACCAAGGCAACGAUGCGUAGCCGACCUGAGAGGGUGAUCGGCCACAAUGGAACUGAGACACGGUCCAGACUCCUACGGGAGGCAGCAGUAGGGAAUCUUCCGCAAUGGGCGAAAGCUUGACGGAGCAACGCCGCGUGAGUGAUGAAGGUCUUCGGAUCGUAAAACUCUGUUAUUAGGGAAGAACAAAUGUGUAAGUAACUAUGCACGUCUUGACGGUACCUAAUCAGAAAGCCACGGCUAACUACGUG